UAAUUAGAAAAGAAAGACUCAUCAAACAACAUACAUGUUUCAUCACCACAAACGAUAAAAAGCUUUAAGCUUUAAUAAAACACAUCAACACAUACGUAUUCAAUUAAACACCACACGACUAAAUGUUCCAACUUUGAAAACAAAAGCUAGCCACAUAACUGAUAAGAAUAAUCAUCAAUGAACCAAAAAUCUUAAAUAGCAAGAGACCUGUCAAAAAGAAGCAAAAAGGUUUCACCUUGCUCUCAAUGGCUCCCAGACAUCGAAAAUAAAAAAAAGUGUUCCUGUUAAUAAUCAAUCUCAAAUCUUAACUUUCGAAACAGAAUGGCCACAUGAAUCAAGUUAGCAUCCAUUAACAGAGAUUGAGAUUUAAAUCGAGAUUAGGUUUGUGAAUUGAUACCAUAUUUGGGAAAGUAACUUUCUCUGGGUUUCAAGUAUGGAUAAAGGAAGAGGUUUAGAUCAGAGAGAGAAUAACUUUCGUUGGAGAGAGGGCUACGAAAGUGAGUUGCUUUUUACAGGGUGUUUUCGUCUUCAUUUGUUG
rnacentral:lncRNA from 1 species